CACUUGAGAGCCUGAAUCUUGUUUCUGCUGAUGAUUCUCAUGGUGUUUGUUUCUUUGAGGGUUUGUGAUCUCCUAUCUGAUUAACCUUAAACUGUGGAAAUUGUGAGGGCCUAAAAUGGGAAUGCUUUCAUCUGAAGAGGUUUUGUGUUUGCUUCUGCCAGGGACAGAAGAUGUCUGCGACCUAGGACACUCAGGACUCCAGGCUGCUGUUGGUCUUGUGGGUGCUCAGAUUCAGUCUCUGCCUUGUGGACUGGUCAUGCCGGGUAGCACGAUACUACCAGGAUAUUUGCACAGAAGAGAACUCCCCUUGGCACCGCUCUGCUGUGGAAACUAGUCAGAACUUCUUCACAGAGGAAGCAUGUUUCGGGCAACGAUGGAUUUACGGAUAUGUAACCAGCACUUCUCUCCUGCAUCUUCCAAACCCUGAGAAGGUGAAUGAUGUAACACUGAAGUCUUGUGAAAUUGUCUGCUAACAAGAAUUGCUCACCAUUUGGAUGAUAAAGAGGUGUCUCCAAUCCAUCUGUACUGGACACGGGGCAUGCAAGAUAUACUUUUAUUUGUACUCUC